UGGGGAAUCUUGCGCAAUGGGGGCAACCCUGACGCAGCCAUGCCGCGUGAAUGAUGAAGGCCUUAGGGUUGUAAAGUUCUUUUGCCCGUGACGAUGAUGACGGUAACGGGAGAAUAAGCUCCGGCUAACUUCGUGCCAGCAGCCGCGGUAAUACGAAGGGGGCUAGCGUUGUUCGGAAUUACUGGGCGUAAAGCGCGCGCAGGCGGUUCGAUAAGUUAGGGGUGAAAUCCCCGGGCUCAACCCGGGAAUGGCCUUUAAGACCGUCGAGCUAGAGGACGAGAGAGGGGAGUGGAAUUCCCAGUGUAGAGGUGAAAUUCGUAGAUAUUGGGAAGAACACCGGUGGCGAAGGCGGCUCACUGGCUCGUUUCUGACGCUGAGGCGCGAAAGCGUGGGGAGCAAACA
rnacentral:rRNA from 1 species